rnacentral:rRNA from 1 species
UACGGGGGGGGCAAGCGUUGUUCGGAAUUACUGGGCGUAAAGGGCUCGUAGGCGGCCACUAAGUCCGACGUGAAAUCCCCAGGCUUAACCUGGGAACUGCGUCGGAUACUGGAUGGCUUGAAUUCGGGAGAGGGAUGCAGAAUUCCAGGUGUAGCGGUGAAAUGCGUAGAUAUCUGGAGGAAUACCGGUGGCGAAGGCGGCAUCCUGGACCGACAUUGACGCUGAGGAGCGAAAGCUAGGGGAGCAAACGGG